rnacentral:rRNA from 1 species
UACAGAGGGGGCCAGCGUUAUUCGGAAUUACUGGGCGUAAAGGGCGCGUAGGCGGCCUGUUAAGUCGAACGUGAAAUCCCUGGGCUCAACCCAGGAACUGCGUCCGAUACUGGCAGGCUUGAAUUCGGGAGAGGGAUGCGGAAUUCCAGGUGUAGCGGUGAAAUGCGUAGAUAUCUGGAGGAACACCGGUGGCGAAGGCGGCAUCCUGGACCGGUAUUGACGCUGAGGCGCGAAAGCUAGGGGAGCAAACGGG